rnacentral:rRNA from 1 species
CUAUGGGUGGCAGCAGUGGGGAAUAUUGCACAAUGGAGGAAACUCUGAUGCAGCAACGCCGCGUGGAGGAUGACACUUUUCGGAGCGUAAACUCCUUUUAUAUAGGAAGAAGAUGACGGUACUAUAUGAAUAAGCGCCGGCUAACUCCGUGCCAGCAGCCGCGGUAAUACGGAGGGCGCAAGCGUUACUCGGAAUCACUGGGCGUAAAGAGCGUGUAGGCGGAUUUAAAAGUCAGAAGUGAAAUCCUAUAGCUUAACUAUAGAACUGCUUCUGAAACUCUUAAUCUAGAAUAUGGGAGAGGUAGAUGGAAUUUCUGGUGUAGGGGUAAAAUCCGUAGAGAUCAGAAGGAAUACCGAUUGCGAAGGCGAUCUACUAGAACAUUAUUGACGCUGAGACGCGAAAGCGUGGGGAGCAAACAGGAUUAGAUACCCGAGUAGUC